AUUGUUGUUAGUUGAACACGUUGGAGAGCGUGGCCAAAGAAGGUGACAGCCCUGUAGGCGAAAACAACAUGAACCAAUGAGGAUCCUGAGUACGGCGGAACACGAGAAAUUCCGUCGGAAUCAGCCGGGACCAUCCGGCAAGCCUAAAUACUACCUAGUGACCGAUAGUGAACCAGUACCGUGAGGGAAAGGUGAAAAGAACCCCGGAAGGGGAGUGAAAAGCACUUGAAACCGUAUGCUUACAAGUAGUCAGAGCCCGUUAAUGGGUGAUGGCGUACCUUUUGUAGAAUGGACCGGCGAGUGACGAUUUCAUGCAAGGUUAAUCUGAAGAAGAGGAGCCG
rnacentral:rRNA from 1 species